UUGGAGGGCAAGUCUGGUGCCAGCAGCCGCGGUAAUUCCUGCUCCAAUAGCGUAUAUUAAAGUUGUUGCAGUUAAAAAGCUCGUAGUUGAAUUUCGGGAUCAAAUUGUCGGUCGUGCCUCGGUACGCACUGGUAUUAUUGGUUCCUACCUUCUGAAGAACCGCGAUGUCAUUAAUUUGGUGUCGUGGGGAAUCAGGACUGUUACUUUGAAAAGAUUAGAGUGUUUAAAGCAGGCUUACGCUUGAAUACAUUAGCAUGGAAUAAUGAAAUAGGACGUUUGAUUCUAUUUUGUUGGCUUCUAGGAUUGACGUAAUGAUUAAUAGGGAUAGUUGGGGGCAUUAGUAUUCAAUUGUCAGAGGUGAAAUUCUUGGAUUUAUUGAAGACUAACUACUGCGAAAGCAUUUGCCAAGGAUGUUUUCAUUAAUCAAGAAUGAAAGUUAGGGGAUCGAAGACGAUCAGAUACCGUCGUAAUCUUAACCAUAAACUAUGCCGACUAGGGAUCGGAUGAUGUUAAUUUUUUAAUGACUCAUUCGGCGCCUUACGGGAAACCAAAGUGUUUGGGUUC
rnacentral:rRNA from 1 species